UCCCGUUUAGCUCAGUUGGUAGAGCGCGUCACUAGUAUUUGUGAACUUAAGUCACGUUACAUAUGACGAGGUCAGUCGUUCGAAUCGGCUAAUGGGAA